AAAUAAACCAAAUUCUCUCACUCUGAUGGUUUGUUCAUUAUUCUUUUAGAGCAAUCAGGAGAAGCACCUGACAAAGGCUAGGGAGGGAAAAAAUAAACACAAUAUAAGUAUGUGGUAUGAAGGCUAGGAGCUGUUUUAAUCAGCUCUGUGCCCACCUGGAUGUAACUCUGGUCCUUCAUUAGAGAAGUAACAGCAACACCUGUGGAUGUUUCUCAGCGCCCCCUUAACAAGAUCGAGGGUGUGUGCUGAGGAGCAGUCCCUUUGUGCAGGCCAAAGUGAUGAAGCUGAUACUGUUUGCAGCAGUUUUACAACUCCUGGCUGAACUGGAGAUUAAACUUUAGGAAGAUGUUGCAAGAGUGACUGUACUUCUGAAGAAUGAUCACUCUGUUGGACCCCUUGGCUCUGCAUGGAGAAAGCUUUACGGGAGCAGAGGCAAGCAGAGAGAAGGUGCUGAGAUGAAGGAAAUUAUGGGGGGACUAUCAAGGGAGAGGAAAACAUUUAUCUUUACCGUAGAUAUCCCACCAGUUAUCAGUGCUGUGUUGCAGAAGCCAACACUGGGCAGUCCAAGCACCGAGCAGUCCAAGCUCACAGUCCAGACAUGGAGGAUGUUGAACUGCUGGAGGCUGGGAAUGGUCAGGAGACCUGGGAUCACAGCUUUGGCAUAUGACUGGUGUACAGAGAUGCAGGGACAUGAGGAAACGAGGCAAAUUGACAAGCCAAAGGCUCAGCAUUUUGCUAUUCAUCUUAUGUAAAACUGGAUCUGCAGUCCUCUGUGAGGAAGGUGGUUAGGGGCUCUAAUGGCUGGUCAGUGCUAAGAGAGCCCUGACCUUCUGGCUCUAUUAAGUACCUUUCAAUGCUUGUAGAAACAAGAUGGAGAGGACUUGCACUUGCGUCCAGCAUGAGCAAGAUUAGUAAAAACUGUUGUACACUGAUGUAGCUGUAUUCCUGUUUGCUAUCAGGGGUAAAAUCCCCACUCGCUGUCAGCCAAAGCUGAAGUCAUUCAAGGCAGAAGAAGUCCCAUCUGCUCUUAUAGGUGAGUCUGUGGGACAGGACCAUUCGCUGGGCACUGUGAAAUCUGACUACCUGCUCUGCUUGUGCCUUCACCUGGAAUUGCUGCUGAUUCCUAAACUGAUACAUUUAUAAUAUUUUUUAUUAUUAGAUAUAUAUUUCUGUGGAUAAAAUAAGUUGAAGGUGUUACCUUUCAGUUACCUUUCCAGAUCUGGGGUGGACUGUUUCAGCUGGUAUCUAGCUCCUUAUCAGUGUGAGGACUACACUGUGUCUGCACCAGAACUGGACAUGGCAGCACAGGGAUGCCCAGUUGCUCAGGUGCCAUGUGCAAUUCCUUUUGAGUCUGCUCUUCCCCAUGUUUGGACUUUUUCAGUACUGCACCUAUGGCUAGGCUGAACUCUAGCUUGUUCUAUAGCUGGGCAUGUAUGGACCUGGAAAAGUAUUUUUAAGUGUUUAAGCACUGCUUAGCACAUUACUGUAGUUUUUUCUUGAGGAAUUAGAUCCUCUUCAUUUGUCUUGGCUCCUCUCAAGCAGUUCCCAUCAAAGGGGGAACAAGAUGAGUCAUGGGGACAGGUAGAGGUGGGUUAUGAGAAUAUCUCUUGGUCUGUGUUUGCCAGCACCCACGCUGAGAUUGCAAUAGUUUUUCCAGGUGUUGUGGUAGAUUUGGGGAUCUCACAGCUGUUAGUGUCAUACCUACCCCAACAUCUGGCCCAUCACUGCUAAACUCGCCAGACCGUGCUGCUGGAAGUGGAUUGGAUUUGUGCUGAAGUCACCUUGAAUCACAAUUACCAAUGGGAAGCAGCGGAUGCGUGUGAACAGGCACGGAUAAAGUUGUGUAAAGGACAUCACCAGAAGUGAAAGUGAGAUCACCAAAAUAUCUGCCAGCAAAUUCAAAGUCAUUAGCUACAUUUAUUUCCCCACACAGCCAAUAGCUCCCUUCCAUCUCCCCAUUGCUCCGUAGGGAGGAUGUGCCAUGGACAGCAAGGAAAACCUUGUCCUACCAGGGACACCCACCAUGGACAUUCCACUACUUCCCUCUCCUCCUGUAAAUUUUAGUGAGGAAUAGCCCCACUAAAAUCAAAAAGAGCUCUCCAGGGUAGAAUUUUGUAAUUUAAAAAAGAAAGGUUUCUCACUCAUUUUCUUCUGUCCAGUUCCCCAUGAAAUUAAAACUUUUUGAUUUAGAUUGCAACUAACCUUAAAAUUGUGCUCAGUAUUAUAAAAUAAAAUCUGUAAUAUAUAUAGCAAAUAUUGUAUUAUAUUACAUAUAGUAUGAAAAUAUGCCUAUAAUAUAUAUUUACAUAUGUGUGUAUAUAUAUGUAUACAUAUAUAUAUGAAGACUUCCAAGUUCAUGUUUUGGCAGCCAGUUGAGUGCCCUGGUUUGGUUUUGGUCUGAUAAAUGGGUGCAAGAGAUGUGAUUGAAUCUCCACACCUGAAAACCUCAUGUGUUGCUUCAGAUCUUGGCUGAAUUUAUCCACUCUGAAAUGACAUUUAGUGAAGCUCCCUCUGCAUAAGAUAUUGCUGUGAAAUUUUAGGGCAGACAGAGAAACAAGAGAGUGGGAGAUGGAUGGAAGCAGGUAAAACACAUUAAAAUCUUUUAAAAGAAAGGCUUUGUUCUUUGAGAACAACAACAGUAAUGCAUGCUACCCAGCUGCCUUUAAUGCUUCAGUCCCUUUAUUCCUUUGGAAGCAGGGGAAAUCCAAACCUGAAACAAGGCAACGACACUACACUCUUUUUCUUCUUGCAACACAAUUCAAGGGCAGAACAUUUCAGUUUUUAUUUUAAGAUCACAGGUAAACGAGUUGCCAUCAUCUUUACAUUCCUGGUAUGACCUGCUUCUCAACUGAAAAAUUGGGAUAGUGAUUAUUCUUUAUAAACAACAAGGAUGACAAAGGCAAAGUAGGAAAUGCUCUCAGGAAAUUAUCCUGGCACCACCUGCACAUUUGUACAUGUAUAUGUGUACAUAAAAAGAGGAAAGCCUACUGAGUUAUUGAAUAGAAAUGAGACUGGCAAGAAGUGUUUUUCCCCAAGCCGCUGCAUAUUCCACAAUUCUGUUACAAAAAUGCCUUUCCUCCCACCUCUGACAUUCUAUUGUUGCUUUUCAACCAAAACAAAGUGAAAGAAGAUGAAAAGAUUGAAGAGGAAAUGGAUCUCACAGACUGAAAAGCAAAGGAAAAAUAGAAGAAAAAAUAAUAAAAUACCCACUUUGGAUGUCCUAGCUGGUACAAAAUGUCCCAUCCCCUUGAGCAGCCCUUCCAGCUCUUCAGAAACGAGGAUGAGCAGCAAAGGGAUGGAUAACGUUGGUACAGGCAUGAGAUGAGCAGCCCCAAAAUUGGUGUUCAGCCUAGUGGUGCUGAUAUGAGGAAGUACUUCCAGCUUUUUAACCUUUUACUCCACCUCUUCUAAGCAAAUGCUUGCUUACCAAGUACUAGCACAGCCUGAUACUUGCAUAGACAAUUGUGACACAGAGAAGUACAUUCAUUCUUUCUUCUGCUUUCGUGUAUGGUUUUGCAAAGGAGGCAUAUGCUCCUCCUUGGACUUGAGGUUUUUAGGUCCAAAUAGAGGUGUUAGUGCCCCAAAGCCUAAAAUCCUGGGGAAAUCAAAUGAAUGGAAGAGCAUCCUUGUAAUGAGGUGUGCUGGAGCAAUUGCCUUAAUGGCAACUGCAGGUUCCAAGCUUCCUCAGCUCCAAACAUCUGCCAGUUCAGCUCUGGGUUCUUCACAGGUUUGACCAUUGUGGUUUGAAAUCUCCCCCUGGAAAGCACUGAGAUGGAAGAUGCAGGAGACAAAGGUGCUGAUCUGGGAUGUGGAUGUGGCCCCAGCACAAACCUUUUAGCCUUUGCUCCUGACAGAGGAGCUGCACUCACACGGAGUGAGCCCUCAGCUGUGAUGUCUCUGUCACUCCAGCACCAGGUUCCAAACCUGGCUCUGCCCUUCAGAGACUCGGUGGCAGCCAGCACAGCCCCUCCCUGAUGUACGUUCUGGCCCCUGGUUUCUAGGUGCACUGCUGAAGUAUCCAAGCAGGAAAUGCUCUCGUGGGAUAGAGAAGCUGCUUUGCUAGCACAUCAGUAUGGCUGGGAUCACCCCAAAAUUACCCACACUGAUGGAAAUGGACCUUGCAGGUUUGCAGCUGAGCUGUGAGAAAGGCUUGCUUUAAAAUACCAGGUGAUGGGGAAUCACUUGAAUCUGAAAUAAAAUGGAGGUCUCUUGUGAGGGUGGGGACAAGCCCACAUUUAUGAUGGGAAGCCACCUUGUUUUCUGUGGGAUUAGAUCAUGGGAACCCUUUUUUCUCUCAGCUUUUCUCAGAGAUACAGCACAUUGAGUUAACAGCUUCUGUCCAUCUGACUUUUACACAUGUUCAUGCCUUAAAGAAAGUAUAACAGCAUUUUAUAACAAUACCUAAUAGAGAUUAUGCCGAGAAAAGAACUCAGUGUAAUCCUGUUAUGUAAGAGCAAGAAUAUUUUGCAGGCUAUAAAUCAAUUGCUUCCCACAAUAGCAAGCUCCUUCAUUACCUUUUAAGCCAGAUAAAUGCUCCAAAAAAGCUUAACUAUAAGGUAUGUAUUGUGAUAAAUAAUACACAAAUCAAAAUUUAAUUGCUAGUAGGUUUCCCAUCUGCUUGCAGUCAUGCAACCUAUUUCUUCCACAACAGAGCAUGUGCAAAGCCCUUAGAAACUCCACACAUUAAAAUUGCAAUUAUGGAAACAAUUUAUAAUCAAUACAUGCUUAUUAGGGUAACCUGCAUGUAUGGGAUAUUUUAUAGCAAUUAUAAUCCUGACAGUCCUUUCUGAGAGCAAAAUUUGAGUCUUGGCUUUUCCCUUUCAGGUUUCAGUCCCUGCAGUGCCAUCUACUGCUGAGAGAUGUUCGAAUGCUGAAUUUAUUAUUUCUUUGGGGGAGAAUUUUCAGGGACCAUUAUCUGCAGGUGGAACACAAGCUCAUAGGGAAAAAAUAAAUGGUUGCAAAAGCCCAGAAAUCUCUGACUCAAAUCUCUGAGGGCUGAGAUUGAAAGAGGAAAAACAAAUUCCCAAACGAGGAUCUGUCACUUGUAAUCUUAUGUUACUGAAACCAAAUGUUUCUUUGAUCACUCCUCAUUCACUCAUGACAAUUCAUUACUCAACCAGUGGGAAUUGUCUCAGCUCCAGUGAAAACCAUGGAGUUAUACCAGCUGCUGUUAGCUGAACUUCUCGCUCUGUACUGUUAAGAAAAAGGUAUGCAGAUUUGCUUAUUUGUUUUGGAAACAAGGAUAAAUUACUUUUGCCAACCAAACCUACAGCCUUGCUUAUUUCUGAGUGAUGAGAAGUCACUUCACUCUUCUAAGAAUAAUUAUUAAGUAAUAUGGCUAGUGAAGGACAGCUGAGGUAGGUACUUGGCAUCUUUAGUUUGCGUUCAAAGGAUGUCAAAAUUGUGGCAUGACUUUACCAAACCACUGAGAGCAAAGGAAGAGGUGUCUAAGGAAGGCUUUAAGAUUCCCAAAAAUAAGGAAAAAGUAUCAAAAUAGUGGGUUAAAAAAAAAAAAAAAAAACCAACAAAAAAAACCAGAUAAUUUUUUCAGGUUAAAAUACAUCUUCCUCAGGUGGCUCCUUGGAGGUGUUUCAUGUCUUAUUCUUCUCUAGUUCCACAUCUCCUUCCUAUAAAAAUAGCCUGUGGACUGGACCACGUCCCCCAGGAAGCCUGUUUUCAAGCCAAAAAGGACAUCUGGCUCAGCUCUGCUGUGCCAAGGAGCUUCAGCUAAGGGGGAGAAGGGUACAAAACCCUGCACUGUACCCGAGACUGAGCGUUCCUGCCAGCAGGGCAUUUAUUACAGGGUAAGGAAUGAAAAGGAACAACCCUUGCUUGGCUGAGAGUGUCAGUUUUGCAAACUAUUUCACUGUUAAAAUAAACUUUGAAAAAGCACCACUCUUGAAUUUUUUUAUAUGUUCAUUGAGGUGAAGAGAGAUGUUUCUGCAGAGUUCUCUUCACAGCAUGCUGCAGGUGAGGUGCAGUCCUGUCCAACCCGGCAAACACUCCUGGUUUAGGUGGGAGGAGUCGAGGUGUAUUGAGCAAGAAGCUGGCUGUAAGAACAAGACCAUGACCCAAACCAGGGUCACCUGAAAGGCUGGAGAAACAGAGAUUUGGGUGAAGAUGUUCAGCUGGGAGCUGACAACUACUGAGGGCUGGUCAGUAUUUGGAAGGGCUGGAGAGAGAGCAAACAUAACUGUGGAAGCAGUGAGUAGAGCACAGACUGCAAAGUGAGGGCUGGAGAGAGGAUGCUGUGGGUCAAAGUGACAAAAAAUAAAGCAGGAAAAGGGAUACCAUGUGUCCUAUAGGACCAACUUUUGGUAACAUAUAUAUUGGGCUUUAUGAAAAUCUCUAUGAAUAAUUCAGCAUAACCAUAUAUUUCUUCCCACCCACCUUAGGAAGCAGCCUCCACCACAAGUCAGAAACAAUUUUAUGAAGAGUAGCUAAUGGCCAUUUGUCUUUUUGAAUUACUUUGGUGUCAGUAUGACUUUAUUUAUUUAUUUAGUAGCUGGGCAGAGAAGGAUGAGGUGGAACAGGAGACAUGGAUCGUUCUCACCAUCACUGGAAGCACCCAGCUUAGGAGUCUGGGACAAUACUGAGUGCCUUGACCAUCCUCAGAGGUGUUCACCUCCUAGCAAGGACCACAAAGCCUGGAAGGGGGUGACUCUGCUGUUUUACACUACUCAGAGCAACUUCCCAUUUGGUGGGAAAUUCAUUGAUGCUACAGAAUGAUGCCCCCUCACAGAAACUGGUGAUGUUCACCCUAAAGAUGCUUUUUCUUGACUAUCUGAGCAUCAUCUAGACAGCUCAUUUUUCUAGCCAAACUACUCCUUUUCCUUGCAUUUCUCAAAUGAGACCCCGAGUUUGCCAAAUGAAAGGAGAAAAAAAAAAAGAUUGAUGAGGGAACUCUUUUCUGGGCUUCUUACAAGAGUGAAGCACCAAGUAAAAAAAAGUAAACUUUAAAGCAGAAAUUGCCACUGUCCUGUCAAAUCUGUUCAUCUGGCCCUGGCUAAAUAUUUCAACCCAGAAUAGCUCCAGCUGCUCAUUUGCCUGUGAGAGAACUUGAAUUUCAAAAUACCCCCUUGAUACACCCUGUGCCUCUGCUGGGAGCUCAGUUUGAGUCUGAGGGAUUAAAUCUGGAUGUUAUUAAAUUCUGCUGAUCAGUGACAGAAAUGCCUUCAGAAAGCAGCACUGAGCAGCUGCUUAAUAUUGUUUUUUUGUGGUGGUAGAGAGGCAAAUGUCUCUUGCACUGGCUAGAAAAAGCAGUUUGUCUCAUUCCUAGAAGCAUUUUAUUGUAGAAACACAGCUCAGAGUCAUACUUUACAGGCUGGCUGCCAAAACUUCAGCAGAAACAGAAGAGCUUCAAAUAAUUAGCUAGACAGUGCCUAGCAGGUGUCACUUUGGAACUCUUUGGUGAUGAUAAUCCUCAAAGAUUGCAGAGAGGUGAUUUGUCCAGACAAAAUAGAUCCAUUACUCACGUAUUCCUUCAUGAGCAGCAGCUCUCCUUGCUCAUGCACCAGUUCUGAGAGGAAGCAGCUUGACAAAAACAUCUGCAAUUUGAUCUAAAAAGAAAGAAAGAAAGAAUAAAUUGCUCUUUUAAGUUGGCAGAAAAAAAAAAUCCCCCCUACCCCCAAACAAAUCAAUACAAUGUCUUGCAUUGGGAAAGGAUGCUGUGUAAUUGGAAUACAGAUCCUGCAUGAAACCCUGAUUCUAAUCUGAGGUAUUUAAUGUUUCUGCCACAAUAAAAGAAGAGAAUUAAUGGACUCAGUGGGAAAUCUAGAUGGUAUUUAGCUCUGAAUCGGACUAUUAUUUUACACUUGGCAUUGAUAGGAGUCAAAAUGAGGCCACAAGCCCAAGACUUUCUCAGCAACUUGUGAGUGCCAAUUCCCUUUAUAUUCCCAUGAUCCCUGCUUGGAGGCUUCCCUUUCUCCACUUCUCAAUCACAGCAGCAGCAAACUGAAGUAAUAAAUAAUGAAGCCACUUCAGGCUAAAUGUGGGUAAAAAAUGCAUGCAUU